rnacentral:snRNA from 1 species
UCAUUUAAAUCUCAAAGUUUGAG